AUGGCCCUCUUCUUAUUCUUCCACAGCUUUCUUGAACUGCACACUGUAGAUCACGUAUGGACGGCUACUGGAGGUGAUCAUAGAAACCUCUCUGCGUUUGGGGUUCAAUAAAGCUGUGGGAAGAUAUGAGGAGGGUCAA
rnacentral:miRNA from 1 species